GAGUAACACGUGGGCAAUCUGCCCUUCACUCUGGGACAAGCCCUGGAAACGGGGUCUAAUACCGGAUAACACUGCGGAUCGCAUGGUCUGCGGUUAAAAGCUCCGGCGGUGAAGGAUGAGCCCGCGGCCUAUCAGCUAGUUGGUGGGGUAAUGGCCUACCAAGGCGACGACGGGUAGCCGGCCUGAGAGGGCGACCGGCCACACUGGGACUGAGACACGGCCCAGACUCCUACGGGAGGCAGCAGUGGGGAAUAUUGCACAAUGGGCGAAAGCCUGAUGCAGCGACGCCGCGUGAGGGAUGACGGCCUUCGGGUUGUAAACCUCUUUCAGCAGGGAAGAAGCGAAAGUGACGGUACCUGCAGAAGAAGCGCCGGCUAACUACGUGCCAGCAGCCGCGGUAAUACGUAGGGCGCAAGCGUUGUCCGGAAUUAUUGGGCGUAAAGAGCUCGUAGGCGGCUUGUCACGUCGGAUGUGAAAGCCCGGGGCUUAACCCCGGGUCUGCAUUCGAUACGGGCAGGCUAGAGUGUGGUAGGGGAGAUCGGAAUUCCUGGUGUAGCGGUGAAAUGCGCAGAUAUCAGGAGGAACACCGGUGGCGAAGGCGGAUCUCUGGGCCAUUACUGACGCUGAGGA
rnacentral:rRNA from 1 species